rnacentral:tRNA from 1 species
CGGGGCGUGGCGCAGUUGGGAGCGCGCGUGUAUGGGGUACACGAGGUCGAAGGUUCAAAUCCUUUCGCCCCGA